rnacentral:rRNA from 1 species
UACAGAGGGGGCAAGCGUUGUUCGGAAUUACUGGGCGUAAAGGGCGCGUAGGCAGCCUUCUAAGUCGAACGUGAAAUCCCCGGGCUCAACCCGGGAACUGCGUCCGAUACUGGAAGGCUUGAAUCCGGGAGAGGGAUGCGGAAUUCCAGGUGUAGCGGUGAAAUGCGUAGAUAUCUGGAGGAACACCGGUGGCGAAGGCGGCAUCCUGGACCGGCAUUGACGCUGAGGCGCGAAAGCCAGGGGAGCAAACGGG